UCAUCAUCAUCAGCUCCUCUGACGCUGCAGUCACACUGAAAUCUGCUUCACAUUAAUUUCUAUGAGGAACCGGACGAGACACAUUUUAGACUUUUAGACAUAACGUGAGUUCAAUCUGACUGAACUUUGACACAUAACAUCGUGAGUCUCUCUGAUGUCCAGCUGGUUGGAGAAAACGUGGUGUGAUUGACCAUCAUUCAGGAAAUAUUGACUGUUUAUGGUGAAAUAUUUCAAGCAGCAGAGAAGGACGGACACUGAGAGAAUCUGAGCACGGAGGGCGUCCACCCCUGACCUCUGACCUUCACUCUGACGUGUCGAUGACCAGGAAGACGACAGGAAGUGACCCUGACCUGUGUGGCUGUCAGCUUCCUGACUUUAAUCAGUUUGGUUGUGAACACGUUGGAAGUGCGUUGGAUUCGUCUGUCUGGACGUCCAGCAGGAGCUCAGUGUGGUAACAGAGCGGGAGGAGACAGACGAGAGAAGAGAGUGAGUAAUGUGACCUCAGAGCCACAGAAACCAGAUCAGCUGAAUUUACUGAGAAGUGGACGGUUGCCGUGGUAACGCCGGAGGAGAAUUGAACUCACCAGCCGUCUCUGGUCCCGUGAGUUCGAUGCCCAGCGAUUGC